CCUACGGGCGGCAGCAGUGAGGAAUAUUGGUCAAUGGACGAGAGUCUGAACCAGCCAAGUAGCGUGAAGGAUGACUGCCCUAUGGGUUGUAAACUUCUUUUAUAAAGGAAUAAAACGAGGCACGUGUGCCUGUUUGCAUGUACUUUAUGAAUAAGGAUCGGCUAACGCCGUGCCAGCAGCCGCGGUAAUACGGAGGAUCCGAGCGUUAUCCGGCUUUAUUGGGUUUAAAGGGAGCGUAGAUGGGUUGUUAAGUCAGUUGUGAAAGUUUGCGGCUCAAACGUAAAAUUGCAAUUGAUACUGGCAGUCUUGAGUACAGUUGGGGUAGGCGGAAUGCGUGGUGUAGCGGUGAAAUGCUUAGAUAUCACGAAGAACCCCGAUUGCGAAGGCAGCUUACUAAACUGUGACUGACAUUGAUGCUCGAAAGUGUGGGUAUCAAACAGGAUUAGAUACCCGAGUAGUC
rnacentral:rRNA from 1 species